rnacentral:tRNA from 1 species
ACGUCGGUAGCUCAAUUGGGAGAGCGGCGGAUUCCAAAUCCGUUGGGUGGUGGUUCGAGUCCAUCCCGGCGUGCCA